AUUGAACGCUGGCGGCAGGCUUCACACAUGCAAGUCGAGCGAGCGGCGGACGGGUGAGUAAUGUCUGGGAAACUGCCUGAUGGAGGGGGAUAACGAAUGGAAACGGUAGCUAAUACAGCAUACCAUCAGAUGUGCCCAGAUGGUAUUAGCUAGUAGGUGGGGUAAUGGCUCACCUAGGCGACGAUCCCUAGCUGUUCUGAGAGGAGAACCAGCCACACUGGAACUGAGACACGGUCCAGAAUCCUACGGGAGUCAGCAGGGGGGAAUAUUGCACAAUGGGCGCAAGCCUGAUGCAGCCAUGCCGCGUGUGUGAAGAAGGCCUUCGGGUUGUAAAGCACUUUCAGCGGGGAGGCGUUACUCGCAGAAGAAGCACCGGCUAACUCCGUGCCAGCAGCCGCGGUAAUUC
rnacentral:rRNA from 1 species